UAAACCUUAAAACAAUAAGCCAAACCCAUUACAAAAGUACUGACAGCUUUCAGACCUGUGGACUUGAACUCGCAGAAUUCCUCCUCCAGUCAUGUUAUCUCAGGAUUUCUGGAACUUACCGGUAAAGUCCACAAGUUUUACAGCUGCCACGUUUGAAGACCCUUGCCAACCCUAACCAGUGCUUACCUGUGUGGUGUCCCAGGAGCAGGUGGCAAGCUUCGCCAAGCAGCAUUGUCUGGGGCGUCAGCCAGGAAGCAGGUGAGGCAGGUGGCUUAUCCAGGCAGCGGUGGGGCAGUGGCUUUGAUUUUGCCCGGGAGCAGGUCAAGCUCCUUGGGCAGCGGGUUGGUGGCGGUGGCGGCUUUAAAUUUUGCCCCGGAGCAGGUCAGACUCCUUGGGCAAUAGCGAGGUAGCACGGGGCUCCUGGGGCAGCGGUGGCUUUAAAUUUUGCCCAGGAGCAGUGGAGCAGCUCGGGUGGUAGGUCAUCCUACCUACUUUUGCCAUCGGUUGCCGCCAUUGCCGCCACCAUACCUCUCACUCCCUCCCAUCAGGUGUGGCUCAUGCUACAUUCAGAGUAUAAGACCCACCCAGAUUUUCAGCCUCUUUUUGGAAAGAAAAAGGUGUGUCUUAUACUUCGAAAAAUACAGUACCUUUUUGUGCUAUUUGAGACAAUGAUACUAAAAUAUGCAUGGGAUACUGUCAGGAUACAGUUUUGUUGACUUUCAUGUAUUCUGCUUAAAAACAUUUUACUUUAAUGCGGUGCUUCUUCUAUAUUGCUGGCUUUACCUAUAGCGCACUAGUUGUAUUUCCUAGACAAUCUGCAAACAUGCCAUUGAAAUUUGCAGAACUGCCAUAUAACAGUGGCAUCAUUUUGCUGCAUUUUUGUAAGCUUAAGAGUCUUUCCAAUCAGCUGAAUUUAGCUUUACAAAUUCUCUGUCAGUUCUUUCUUGGCUUUAACCAUUUCUGCCUACCCAUUUCCUUGCCUCUGUCUUUCUCAUUUUGGUCUUCCAUUGCAAAUAUAAUCCUUUUCUAAACAUGCACACACUCCCUAUGCUUCAAGUAACAUCACAAAUUUUCUUUUUCCAUCAAUCUAUGCAUGUAUCAUGCUUGGGAUGGAAUAUGCAGCAAAGCCUCCUGUGAGACUAUUUGGUUAGAACUGCUGUUACGUUUGCCCUUUAGGAAGACAAGAAAAAGAAUCUAGCAGACAACAAAAGGUGACUAAAUUAUGCAGCAAGACUGUGAAAGAUGGAAUCUGAGUCUUUGGAAGUUGUUGAGCUAAAGCUUCCAGCAUCUCUCAUCAUUGUAUUUUGCUGUGCUGGAAUUUGUAAUUCAGCAGCAUUUUGAGAGUCACUGAUUCCCCAUUCUUACUCUACUUACUUUAGCUUGUGAAGGAAGCAGAUGGCCUUUGGUUUCAGCUACUCCUGCAGACAUAACACCAGCAUCUUUGAGUUCAUUGCUGCAUUCUGCCAUUGUUUCUACUGACAUAGACAGGCAGAAUUAGGAUUUGGUGAGAACAAGUAUCUUACUGCAGAGGACAACUAAAAGGAAAAUGUGGCAACCUUGUGGGACAAGGGCAGUGUGUAUAGACAUACACACACAUACUAGUCAGUGAUGGUUCUGGAUCCCAUGGCAACCGGUACACUGCAAUGGGGCCGGACGUAUAUGCACGCUGCACGUGCAUGCACACCCACCACCCUGUAACGCUGCAGCUGCCUGGCGGAGUGUUGCGCAGGAGCUGUACACUGGGUGCACGUGCGCAAAUGACCCAGUUGGCUCAAAUACAGUUGUAGAAUGACUGAACCAGAAAGUAAAAGAGAGAAGAUGGACUUUUUGUAUAAAUACUGGCAAAAGAACCAUUGUUCUGAGGCAGCUUCACAGCAACUCUGCCCUAGACCUACAAUACAAUGCAAGAAGAGUGCUGUGGCAUCUUUUAAACCUACAAAUUCAUUACCCAAGGGGAAGGUGGGGUAACUUGAAAAUGGCAUCCGGUUGAAAGAGGUAUCCAACCAAAAAUCUGGACAUGCUACGUCAUUGGCACCUUUCAUCAUCAUCAAACGCUCCCAAAUUGAAGGACACCACCUACUCAGUAACAUAUUCCCUGGGACCAAAUUUACAUGCAAAGAGAAAACAGACAAUAGACUAUCAUUCCUCCAUGUCAACAUAAGGAGACUAGACAACAGAGCAUUAGAAACCUGUGUCUACUGCAAACCUAUACACAUGGACUACAUCCUCCCAACCACCCCAUCUCACACAAAAGAAACUGUCCAGACCCUGUUCAGAAGGGCCAGGACACACUGCAGCACCUCAAUACUAAAAAGCAGAAGUGAAACGGCUGAUAGGUGUCUAUCCAAAAAACUUCACAUUCCAGCACACAGCAGCCACACCACAUAGCCAAUUGUUUUGGCUGUGGUUUUAAAACUGAUUGAUGAAAAAAGUAUACCAGGUUUCAGCACUGAACAAUUUUGGGUAUUGGACUUGGCGGCCUUCUAUAAUUUAAAAGGUUUCUAUGAAUAUGGCUACUAUAGGUUGCAGUACUGUUUAUAAAACCACUUUUGAUUGCACUUAAGGAUUCUGAAAUAAACUAUUUUAUCUGUUGUU